rnacentral:rRNA from 1 species
CCUACGGGUGGCAGCAGUGAGGAAUAUUGGUCAAUGGACGCAAGUCUGAACCAGCCAUGCCGCGUGCGGGAAGACGGCUCUCUGAGUGGUAAACUCCUUUUGUACGAGGGAAAACGCAGAGACGCGUACCUAUCUGCAAGUAUCGUACGAAUAAGGAUCGGCGAACUCCGUGCCAGCAGCCGCGGUAAUACGGAGGAUACAAGCGUUAUCCGGAUUUAUUGGGUUUAAAGGGUGCGUAGGCGGUCGGAUAAGUUAGAGGUGAAAUCCCGAGGCUCAACUUCGGAAUUGCCUUUGAUACUGUUCGGCUAGAGAGUAGGAGAGGUAGGUGGAAUGCAUGGUGUAGCGGUGAAAUGCGUAGAUAUCAUGCAGAACACCGAUGGCGAAGGCAGCUUACCAAGCUAUUUCUGACGUUGAGGCACGAAAGCGUGGGGAGCAAACAGGAUUAGAUACCCCAGUAGUC